CUGUUUCUUGGUGGCGGGGAAACUGAGUGCCAAAGGAUCUAUUGGGGGCUGCGGCUGGGGGGUAAGGAAGUCAAAGUCUGAUGAUGAGCAUCCUGCCACAGCUCCUCUAGUCAGUAUAUCAGCCACCUUCUUCAUGAACUGAGCUGAAGCUUCUGCUUGCCUCUUCACAGUCUUACUCAACUUCUUACAUUUGUCCUUGAGCUUGAAGAUAGUUCUGUCCUGAGCUUUGUUCCACCUUUGGAGG
rnacentral:lncRNA from 1 species